ACGGGAGGCAGCAGUGGGGAAUAUUGGACAAUGGGCGCAAGCCUGAUCCAGCCAUGCCGCGUGAGUGAUGAAGGCCUUAGGGUUGUAAAGCUCUUUUGUCCGGGACGAUAAUGACGGUACCGGAAGAAUAAGCCCCGGCUAACUUCGUGCCAGCAGCCGCGGUAAUACGAAGGGGGCUAGCGUUGCUCGGAAUCACUGGGCGUAAAGGGCGCGUAGGCGGCCAUUCAAGUCGGGGGUGAAAGCCUGUGGCUCAACCACAGAAUUGCCUUCGAUACUGUUUGGCUUGAGUUUGGUAGAGGUUGGUGGAACUGCGAGUGUAGAGGUGAAAUUCGUAGAUAUUCGCAAGAACACCAGUGGCGAAGGCGGCCAACUGGACCAACACUGACGCUGAGGCGCGAAAGCGUGGGGAGCAAACAGGAUUAGAUACCCUGGUA
rnacentral:rRNA from 1 species